UCCUACGGGAGGCAGCAGUGGGGAAUAUUGGACAAUGGGCGAAAGCCUGAUCCAGCAAUGCCGCGUGUGUGAAGAAGGCCUGCGGGUUGUAAAGCACUUUUCUGAGAGAAGAAGGGCGCCAGGUUAAGAGCUAGGUGUCUUGACGGUAUCUUAGGAAUAAGCACCGGCUAACUCCGUGCCAGCAGCCGCGGUAAUACGGAGGGUGCAAGCGUUAAUCGGAAUUACUGGGCGUAAAGGGUACGUAGGCGGCCUUUUAAGUCGGAUGUGAAAGCCCCGGGCUCAACCUGGGAACUGCAUUCGAUACUGGAAGGCUAGAGUUUGGCAGAGGCUAACGGAAUUCCUGGUGUAGCGGUGAAAUGCGUAGAUAUCAGGAGGAACAUCAGUGGCGAAGGCGGUUAGCUGGGUCAAAACUGACGCUGAGGUGCGAAAGCGUGGGUAGCAAACAGGAUUAGAUACCCUGGUAGUCCACGCCGUAAACGAUGUCGACCAGCCGUUGGGUGCCUAGCGCACUUUGUGGCGAAGUUAACGCGAUAAGUCGACCGCCUGGGGAGUACGGCCGCAAGGUUAAAACUCAAAUGAAUUGACGG
rnacentral:rRNA from 1 species